rnacentral:rRNA from 1 species
UACGGAGGGUGCAAGCGUUAUCCGGAUUCACUGGGUUUAAAGGGUGCGUAGGAGGGCAGGUAAGUCAGUGGUGAAAUCUCCAAGCUUAACUUGGAAACUGCCGUUGAUACUAUCUGUCUUGAAUACCGUGGAGGUGAGCGGAAUAUGUCAUGUAGCGGUGAAAUGCUUAGAUAUGACAUAGAACACCAAUUGCGAAGGCAGCUGACUACAGGGGCAUUGACACUGAGGCUCGAAAGCGUGGGGAUCAAACAGG